UACAGAGGGUGCAAGCGUUGUUCGGAAUUAUUGGGCGUAAAGGGAGUGUAGGCGGUUUCCUAAGUCUUCUGUGAAAUCUACGGGCUUAGCCUGUAACGUGCAGAGGAAACUGGGAGACUUGAGUGUCGGAGAGGAUAGGGGAAUACCCGGUGUAGAGGUGAAAUUCGUAGAGAUCGGGUGGAACACCAGUGGCGAAGGCGCCUGUCUGACUGACAACUGACGCUGAGACUCGAAAGCAUGGGGAGCAAACAGG
rnacentral:rRNA from 1 species